rnacentral:rRNA from 1 species
CCAUACGACCGUACCGCAAACCGACACUGGUGCGCGAGAUGAGUAUCCUAAGGCGCUUGAGAGAACUCAGGAGAAGGAACUCGGCAAAUUGACACCGUAACUUCGGAAGAAGGUGUGCCCUAUUAGUGUGUAGUGAACAACGAAGCAUGAAUGGGUUGCAAAAAAUCGGUGGCUGCGACUGUUUAUUAAAAACACAGCACUCUGCAAACACGAAAGUGGACGUAUAGGGUGUGACGCCUGCCCGGUGCUGGAAGAUUAAAUGAUGGGGUGCAAGCUCUUGAUUGAAGUCCCAGUAAACGGCGGCCGUAACAAUAACGGUCCUAAGGUAGCGAAAUUCCUUGUCGGGUAAGUUCCGACCUGCACGAAUGGCGUAACGAUGGCCACACUGUCUCCUCCUGAGACUCAGCGAAGUUGAAAUGUUUGUGAUGUUGCAAUCUCCCCGCGGAAAGACGGAAAGACCCCAUGAACCUUUACUGUAGCUUUGUAUUGGACUUUGAACAGAUCUGUGUAGGAUAGGUGGGAGGCUUUGAAGCAGGGUCGCUAGAUCUUGUGGAGCCAACGUUGAAAUACCACCCUGGUGUGUUUGAGGUUCUAACCUAGGUCCAUUAUCUGGAUCGGGGACAGUGCAUGGUAGGCAGUUUGACUGGGGCGGUCUCCUCCCAAAGCGUAACGGAGGAGUUCGAAGGUACGCUAGUUACGGUCGGACAUCGUGACGAUAGUGCAAUGGCAUAAGCGUGCUUAACUGCGAGACUGACAAGUCGAGCAGAUGCGAAAGCAGGACAUAGUGAUCCGGUGGUUCUGUAUGGAAGGGCCAUCGCUCAACGGAUAAAAGGUACUCUGGGGAUAACAGGCUGAUACCGCCCAAGAGUUCAUAUCGACGGCGGUGUUUGGCACCUCGAUGUCGGCUCAUCUCAUCCUGGGGCUGUAGCCGGUCCCAAGGGUAUGGCUGUUCGCCAUUUAAAGAGGUACGUGAGCUGGGUUUAAAACGUCGUGAGACAGUUUGGUCCCUAUCUUCCGUGGGCGCUGCAGAUUUGAGGAAGCCUGCUCCUAGUACGAGAGGACCGGAGUGGACACACCUCUGGUGUAUCGGUUGUCACGCCAGUGGCAUUGCCGAGUAGCUAAGUGUGGAAGAAUAACCGCUGAAAGCAUCUAAGCGGGAAACUCGUUUCAAGAUGAGAUCUGCCGGGGCCUUGAGCCCCCUAAAGAGUCGUUCAAGACCAGGACGUUGAUAGGUCAGGUGUGGAAGCGU